rfam:TPA: Bos taurus chromosome 13, whole genome shotgun sequence.
UCCCUGGUGGCUCAGAUGGUAAAGCAUCUGCCUGCAAUGUGGGAGACCUGGGUUCGAUUCCUGGGUUGGGAA